rnacentral:piRNA from 1 species
UAGGGUCCACGGGAGGCCUGCGG